rnacentral:rRNA from 1 species
CCUACGGGAGGCUGCAGUGAGGAAUAUUGGUCAAUGGACGCAAGUCUGAACCAGCCAUGCCGCGUGCAGGAAGACGGCUCUCUGAGUUGUAAACUGCUUUUGUACGAGGGUAAACGCAGAUACGCGUCUCUGUCUGACAGUAUCGUACGAAUAAGGAUCGGCUAACUCCGUGCCAGCGUCCGCGGUAAUAUGGAGGAUUCAAGCUUUUUCCGGAUUUUUUGGGUUUAAAGGGGGCGUAGGCGGUCGGAUAAGGUAGAGUUGAAAUCCCGAGGCUCAACUUCGGAAUUGCCUCUGAUACUGUUCGGAUAGAGAGUAGUUGCGGUAGGCGGAAUGUAUGGUGUAGCGGUGAAAUGCUUAGAGAUCAUACAGAACACCGAUUGCGAAGGCAGCUUACCAAGCUACUUCUGACGUUGAGGCACGAAAGCGUGGGGAGCAAACAGGAUUAGAUACCCUUGUAGUC